GAGGGCAUAGCUCAUGGUAGAGUGUCUGCUUAGCAUGUGUAAGGUCUUGGGUUCAAUCCCCAGUACCUCCA
rnacentral:tRNA from 1 species